CCCUGGCUCUUUCAAACCCUGGGUUUGUUUUUAAAUGAUGAUGAAGGCCAAACAUUACUUUUGUUACUUAGGAAAAGACUUUGUACGUUUGUAAGAGAUCAAACCUAAAUUUUUGGUUAUGUUACUUCUUACUGCAAUUGGCUUUUAAAUGUUCCAACCUUAAGUCACUAUUUAUCUUGUUAUAGGUGGGCAGUCUCUUCUGUUAUGACGAGGCAAAACCAAAUUCCCACAGAGGAUGGUUCCCGCGUGACCCUGGCUCUGAUUCCUUUAUGGGAUAUGUGUAACCACACCAACGGCCUGAAGAACUGAAAGAACACUUGCUGGGAGACAGCGCUAUUGAUAGAAUCUUCACCUUGGGGAACUCGGAAUUUCCUGUUAGCUGGGACAACGAGGUCAAACUUUGGACAUUUCUUGAAGAUAGAGCCUCACUUCUUUUAAAAACAUAUAAAACAACUAUUGAGGAAGAUAAAUCCGUCUUGAAAAACCAGGAUCUUUCUGUUCGUGCAAAAAUGGCCAUCAAAUUGCGCUUAGGUGAGAAAGAGAUUUUGGAAAAAGCAGUAAAGAGUGCAGCUGUCAACCGGGAAUACUAUCGCCAACAGAUGGAGGAAAAGGCUCCGCUUCCCAAAUAUGAAGAGAGUAACCUUGGGCUGUUGGAGAGCAGCGUGGGGGACUCGAGGCUCCCCCUGGUCUUGAGAAACCUCGAGGAGGAGGCUGGAGUGCAGGAUGCCUUGAACAUCAGAGAGGCAAUCAGCAAAGCAAAGGCCACAGAAAACGGGCUUGUAAAUGGUGAAAACUCUAUCCCUAAUGGGACCAGGUCUGAAAAUGAAAGUCUCAAUCAAGAAAGUAAAAGAGCAG
rnacentral:sRNA from 1 species